GAUAAACGCUGGCGGCGCACAUAAGACAUGCAAGUCGAACGAACUUAAUCGUUAGUUUACUAAUGAAGCGGUUAGUGGCGGACUGGUGAGUAACACGUAAGCAACCUGCCUAUUAGAGGGGAACAACAGUUAGAAAUGACUGCUAAUACCGCAUAUGCCAUAAGUAUCGCAUGAUACAAGUGGGAAAGGAGCAAUCCGCUAAUAGAUGGGCUUGCGUCUGAUUAGAUAGUUGGUGGGGUAACGGCCUACCAAGUCGACGAUCAGUAGCCGAGUUGAGAGACUCUACGGCCACAUUGGGACUGAGAUACGGCCCAGACUCCUACGGGAGGCAGCAGUCGGGAAUAUUGCGCAAUGGAGGAAACUCUGACGCAGUGACGCCGCGUGCAGGAAGAAGGUUUUCGGAUUGUAAACUGCUUUAGACAGGGAAGAAAAAGACAGUACCUGUAGAAUAAGCUCCGGCUAACUACGUGCCAGCAGCCGCGGUAAUACGUAGGGAGCAAGCGUUAUCCGGAUUUAUUGGGUGUAAAGGGUGCGUAGACGGGAAAAUAAGUUAGUUGUGAAAUCCCCAUGCUUAACAUGGGAACUGCAACUAAAACUGUUUUUCUUGAGUGCUGGAGAGGAAAGUGGAAUUCCUAGUGUAGCGGUGAAAUGCGUAGAUAUUAGGAGGAACACCAGUGGCGAAGGCGACUUUCUGGACAGUAACUGACGUUGAGGCACGAAAGUGUGGGGAGCAAACAGGAUUAGAUACCCUGGUAGUCCACACCGUAA
rnacentral:rRNA from 1 species